AGGGCACGAGGUGAAUGCCUUGGCUCCAGAAGUCGAUGAAGGACGUAGUAAGUUGCGAUAAGCCACGAGGAGCGACAAACACGCGCUGAUCCGUGGAUUUCCGAAUGGGGAAACCCGGCCAAUCAUGGUCGAUGUCAUGUGAAUUCAUAGCAUGGCGUCGGGACACCCGCUGAAGUGAAACAUCUCAGUAAGCGGAGGAAAAGAAAUCAAAGAGAUUCCGUAAGUAGUGGCGAACGAAAGCGGAACAGCCUAAACCAGGAGAGUUUACUCUCCCGGGGUUGUGGGAUACUUAAAUAUGGUAUCGUGAAGAGAAGCUCAAUCAGUUUGGAACGACUGAGCCAGAGAGGGUGAUAGCCCCGUGAGUAUAAUCGAAUCGUAACCUAGAGUUUCCCGAGUAAUGCGGGACACGUGAAACCCUGCAUGAAUCCAGGCGGACCACCGUCUAAGGCUAAAUACUAACUGGAGACCGAUAGUGAACAAGUACCGUGAGGGAAAGGUGAAAAGGACCCCUGCUAGGGGAGUUUAAAGUUCCUGAAACCCCGUGCCUACAAUGUGUGGGAGCACUUUUUAAGUGUGACCGCGUGCCUUUUGCAUAAUGAGUCUGCGAGUUAUUGUCAGUGGCAAGCCUAAGCACUAUUGGUGCGCAGGCGAAGCGAAAGCGAGUGUGAAUAGCGCGACCAGUCGCUGGCGAUAGACCCGAAGCGGAGGUGAUCUAACCAUGAGCAGGUUGAAGCUGAAGUAAAAUUCAGUGAAGGACCGAACCGUUGUACGUUGAAAAGUGCUCGGAUGACCUGUGGUUAGGAGUGAAAGGCUAAUCAAACCCCGUGAUAGCUGGUUCUCUUCGAAAUAGCUUUUGGGCUAGCGUCGGGGAAGUACUCCGAGGAGGUAGAGCACUGAUUGGCUUAGGGUCCCUAACAGGAUACCAAAACCAGUUAAACUCCGAAUGCCUCGGAUCCCAUUAUCCCGGCAGUCAGUCGGCGAGUGAUAAGAUCCGUCGUCGAGAGGGAAACAACCCAGACCAUCGGCUAAGGUGCCCAAAUACCGCUCAGUGGUAAGGAUGUGACGUUACAUAGACAGUGAGGAUGUUGGCUUAGAAGCAGCCACCAUUUAAACAGUGCGUAACAGCUGACUCAUCGAGUGACGUUGCGCCGAAAAUGAUUGGCGAUCAAGCGGUAUACCGAAGCCAUGGAUGUCUUAGGACAUGGUAGAAGAGCGUAGUCAGGCCAUUGAAGCUUCUCUGUAAAGAGGGGUGGAGGGCUGACUAGUGAGAAUGCAGACAUGAGUAGCGAUAAACAAAGUGAGAAUCUUUGUCUCCGUAAACCCAAGGUUUCCUGGGCCAGGCUCGUCCUCCCAGGGUUAGUCGGGACCUAAGGCGAGGCCGAAAGGCGUAGUCGAUGGACAUCAGGUUAAUAUUCCUGGACUAAAGUACAAUAUGGGACGCAUGAUGAAGGAUGGCACACACUAUGAUUAGUGAUUCUAGGCUAGCGCCGAAAUACGCCAUUUGGAUUUGUGCCGAGAAAACCGUACUUGCCCGUACCAAAACCGACACAGGUAGGUGAGUCGAAUAGACUAAGGAGCGCGAGAGAAAUCUCUCCAAGGAACUCGGCAAAUUAGCCCCGUAACUUCGGGAGAAGGGGUGCCCACUUCGGUGGGCCACAGUAAAUUGGGACUGGCGACUGUUUACCAAAAACACAGCUCUCUGCUAAGUCGUGAAGACGACGUAUAGGGAGUGACACGUGACCAAUGCGGAAAGGUGAAACCCGGUUGUUCACGCUUCCGGACUAAGCCCCCGUGAAUGUCGGCCGUAACUAUAACGGUCCUAAGGUAGCGAAAUUCCUUGUCGGGUAAGUUCCGACCUGCACGAAUCGUGUAACGACCGGUCAGCUGUCUCUAAGAGAAUCUCGGCGAAGUUGUAAUGGCGGUGAAGAUGCCGCCUACCCGCGGUAGGACGGAAAGACCCUAUGCACCUUUACUGUAAGCUGGUAUUGGGUUCUGGCCUUCAAUGUGUAGCCUAGGUGGGAGACUGUGAAGCGGCUUCGUCAGGAGUCGUGGAGUCACAAGGUGAAAUACCACUCUUUGAUUGUUAGGAUUCUAACCCCGAUUCCCGUUAGCCGGGCG
rnacentral:rRNA from 1 species